rnacentral:rRNA from 1 species
GUAGUCAGGUCAUACUGUUAUGUAUAGCUAGAGUACGGCAGAGGGGGAUGGAAUUCCGCGUGUAGCAGUGAAAUGCGUAGAUAUGCGGAGGAACACCGAUGGCGAAGGCAAUCCCCUGGGCCUGUACUGACGCUCAUGCACGAAAGCGUGGGGAGCAAACAGGAUUAGAUACCCUGGUAGUCCACGCCCUAAACGAUGUCAACUGGUUGUUGGGUCUUCACUGACUCAGUAACGAAGCUAACGCGUGAAGUUGACCGCCUGGGGAGU